rnacentral:rRNA from 1 species
AUGCAAGUGGUGAUGGACAAUUCUUCCAACAACAUGGGAGCCAAGAAAAUGUUGCUUGAGAAGAGGUCGAAGAUCUUUUGGAGCUCUUGUGCAACUCACACUAUCAACUUGAUGCUCCAAGGAAUUGGCAACCUCAAAAUAUUCAAGACAAUAGUUUAUCAAGCAAAGAACCUCACCAUCUUCAUCUAUGCGCAUCACAAGACUUUGGCAUUGAUGAGGGUUGCUACAAAAAGGAGAGAUAUCAUAAGGCCGGGGCUGGCAAGAUUUGCUUCCGCUUUUCUUACUUUGCAAAGUUUGUUGGAGAAGAAAGAUGCUUUAAGUUGUAUGGCGGUUGAAAGAGCUUGUGAAGAGAUGAUUCAUGUGAAAACAAAGAAAGGCAAGGAUGCA